AGCUCCGUGGUCGAGUGGAUUUAUGACACUUCCCUCCUAAGGAAGAGAUCCGGGUUCGAUUCCCGGCGGAGCUG
rnacentral:tRNA from 1 species